AAGACCUUGCACUUUUGGAGCGGCCGAUGUCUGAUUAGCUAGUUGGUGGGGUAAUGGCCUACCAAAGCUUCGAUCAGUAGCUGGUCUGAGAGGACGGCCAGCCACACUGGGACUGAGACACGGCCCAGACUCCUACGGGAGGCAGCAGUGGGGAAUUUUGGACAAUGGGCGCAAGCCUGAUCCAGCCAUGCCGCGUGAGUGAAGAAGGCCUUCGGGUUGUAAAGCUCUUUCAGCCGGGAAGAAAAGGUUGCGAUUAAUAAUCGCAAUUGAUGACGGUACCGGAAGAAGAAGCACCGGCUAACUACGUGCCAGCAGCCGCGGUAAUACGUAGGGUGCGAGCGUUAAUCGGAAUUACUGGGCGUAAAGCGUGCGCAGGUGGUUUUGUAAGUCAGAUGUGAAAGCCCCGGGCUCAACCUGGGAACU
rnacentral:rRNA from 1 species